UACUGCCAGACUGGAACCGGGAGAGGUAAGAGGUACUACAGGGGUAGGAGUGAAAUCUUGUAAUCCCUGUGGGACCACCUGUGGCGAAGGCGUCUUACCAGAACGGUUCGACGGUGAGGGACGAAAGCUGGGGGCACGAACCGGAUUAGAUACCCGGGUAGUCCCAGCCGUAAACGAUGCUCGCUAGGUGUCAGGCAUGGCGCGACCGUGUCUGGUGCCGCAGGGAAGCCGUGAAGCGAGCCACCUGGGAAGUACGGCCGCAAGGCUGAAACUUAAAGGAAUUGGCGGGGGAGCACAACAACGGGUGGAGCCCUGCGGUUUAAUUGGACUCAACGCCGGACAACUCACCGGGGGCGACAGCAAUAUGUAGGCCAAGCUGAAGACUUUGCCUGAAUCGCUGAGUAGUGGUGCAUGG
rnacentral:rRNA from 1 species